AACGAACGCUGGCGGCAGGCCUAACACAUGCAAGUCGAACGCCCCGCAAGGGGAGUGGCAGACGGGUGAGUAACACGUGGGAACCUUCCCAACAGUACGGAAUAGCCCAGGGAAACUUGGAGUAAUACCGUAUAUUCCCGGGAGGGGAAAGAUUUAUCGCUGUUGGAUGGGCCCGCGUCGGAUUAGCUAGUUGGUGAGGUAACGGCUCACCAAGGCGACGAUCCGUAGCUGGUUUGAGAGAAUGACCAGCCACACUGGGACUGAGACACGGCCCAGACUCCUACGGGAGGCAGCAGUGGGGAAUCUUGGACAAUGGGCGCAAGCCUGAUCCAGCCAUGCCGCGUGAGUGACGAAGGCCUUAGGGUUGUAAAGCUCUUUUGCCGGGGACGAUAAUGACGGUACCCGGAGAAUAAGUCCCGGCUAACUUCGUGCCAGCCGCCGCAGUAAAAC
rnacentral:rRNA from 1 species